rnacentral:lncRNA from 1 species
UGGUUGUUUUCUUUGAUUAUUUUUGAAGCAAUUUUUGACUUUUUCCCCCCUAAUUUUUGUUCAUUUUGAUCUGUGCUUGUCUUUGUUUCAUGUUGUUUUUUGUUAUGUUUUGGAUUUGGCCUUUUACUGGUGCAGGUCUGAAGAUGUUGUUGUUGGGGGAGAGAGGGGAAGAACAGAGAUCGGAAUGAUUUAUUUUUUAUGCUUUUUGGAUAGCAGACUC